GUUGAUCCUGCGGGAGAUUGCUGCUAUUGGAGUUCGACUAAGCCAUGCAAGUCAGAGGGUUCUUCGGAACACAGGCUGAAUGCUCAGUAACACGUCAAUAAUCUGCCCUUAGAUCUGGCAUAACCUUGGGAAACUGAGGCUAAAACUAGAUAGGUAAAAAGCACUGGAAUGUCUUUUUACUCAAAAGCAAUGUCUAAGGAUGAGUUGGCGGCUGAUUAGGCUGAUGGUGGUGUAAAGGACCACCAUACCUUCGAUCAGUAGGGGCCGUGAGAGCGGUAGCCCCGAGAAGGGUACUUAGACACUGACCCUAGCCCUACGGGGUGCAGCAGGCGCGAAACUUUUACAUUUACGUAAGUGCGAUAAAGGAACUCCAAGUGCUCAUGCACUGCAUGGGCUUUUGCCAAGAGUAAAUAUCUUGGCGAAUAAGUGGUGGGUAAGACGGGUGCCAGCCGCCGCGGUAAUACCUGCGCCACGAGUGGGAAUCACGUUUAUUGGGCCUAAAGCGUUCGUAGCUGGUUUGGUAAGUUUUGGGUGAAAUCGUUGCGCUUAACAAAACGACGUGCUCAAAAUACUGCCAAACUUGAGACCGGGAGGAGCUAGGAGUAUUCCUGAGGGAGCGGUAAAAUGCUAUAAUCUCAGGAGGACUACCUGUGGCGAAGGCGCCUAGCUAGAACGGGUCUGACAGUGAGGAACGAAAGCCAGGGGAGCGGAGCGGAUUAGAUACCCGUGUAGUCCUGGCUGUAAACGCUGCGAGCUAGAUGUUGCGUAUCCUACAUGGAUACGCAGUAUCGAAACGAAGGUGUUAAGCUCGCCGCCUGGGAAGUACGGUCGCAAGGCUGAAACUUAAAGGAAUUGGCGGGAGAGCACAACAAGGGGUGCGGCGUGCGGUUUAAUCUAACUCAACGCAGAGAAUCUCACCAGCAGCGACGGCAGAAUGAAGGUCAGAUUAAAUGUUUUACCUGACGAGCCGAGAGGUAGUGCAUGGCCGUCGUCAGCUCGUGCCGUAAGGUGUCCUCUUAAGUGAGGUAACGAGCGAGACCCAUACCUAUAAUAGCUAGCAGAUGCUUUAGCAUGACUGAGCACGUUAUGGGGACUGCUGCGGAAACGCAGAGGAAGGUGUGGGCUACGGUAGGUCUGUAUGCUCCGAAUCUGCUGGGCUACACGCGCGCAACAAUGGCGAGGACAAUGGGAUGCAACACCGAAAGGUGGAGCUAAACCUCGAAACCUUGUCUUAGUUUAGAUCGAGGAUUGUAAUUCAUUCUCGUGACAACGGAAUCCCUAGUAAUCGCCAGUCAUCAUCUGGCGGUGAAUAUGUCCCUGCUCUUUGCACACACCGCCCGUCAAACCAACCGAGCGGAGUUUGGAUGAGAUUUAGCUUUUAGCUAACUCGAAUCUAAAUUUUGUGAGGCGGGUUAAGUCGUCACAAGGUA
rnacentral:rRNA from 1 species